CCUACGGGUGGCAGCAGUGAGGAAUAUUGGUCAAUGGUCGGGAGACUGAACCAGCCAAGCCGCGUGAGGGAUGAAGGUACAGAGUAUCGUAAACCUCUUUUGUCAGGGAACAAAGGCGGGGACGUGUCCCCGGAUGAGUGUACCUGAAGAAAAAGCAUCGGCUAACUCCGUGCCAGCAGCCGCGGUAAUACGGAGGAUGCGAGCGUUAUCCGGAUUUAGUGGGGUUAAAGGGUGCGCAGGCGGUCUGUUAAGUCGGCGGUCAAAGCCCGGGGCUCAACCCCGGCCCGCCGUUGAAACUGGCAGGCUCGAGUUGGAGAGAAGUAUGCGGAAUGCGCGGUGUAGCGGUGAAAUGCAUAGAUAUCGCGCAGAACUCCGAUUGCGAAGGCAGCAUGCCGGCUCCACACUGACGCUGAGGCACGAAAGCGUGGGUAUCGAACAGGAUUAGAUACCCUUGUAGUC
rnacentral:rRNA from 1 species